CACUUGACUCACCUUAUCUGAGACCUGGGGACUUCUGGCUCUUCAGCAGAGAUAAAAUGAACAUGGGGGAUAAACACUAAUGUGUCAUAUGGAAACCUAAAGAAGGCAAUGUAAAGACAGAGGCCAUCACUGGAGUGAUGCAGUCACAAGCCAAGGAAGGACUCUGAAACCUGCACAGCCUCUGGAAUCUAGAUCAACUGUCAAACAAUAUCUUCUCACCCACAGCCCAUAUAAAGAAAGACCUUGGCACUGUCUGUAUAUUGAUCUCAGACCUUAACCUCAAGAAAGAUGUCUAAAAAUUAUUCUUCCUUUUAGAAGAGGAAUAUUCCAUUGUGCACUGGUGAAAAAGGAACCUCACUGCAUUGUUCAGAAAAUUCCUUCCAACCCACUGAUCAAUAAUGUGUUCAGAGACUUAGUCAUCCAGUAUUUCACUUCAAAGGAAGGUGAGAAAUGGCUUAUUGAU